AUGCUUACAACCUGUAUUUUUAUUCCAUCCAUAAAUAAAAUCAUGAGCUAUUUUUUUAAUCCAAAUUUGAUCCAAAGGGCCAUCGUUGGUUCCAGACCCGUUCUAGAACAUUCCUCUAAUCUUAAAGUCAUCAUCAGUUUCUUCCUUUUAACAAAUAUUUAUUUGUUCAAAUAUUUAAUAUUUAUAACUGGAAUAUUUGUUCCUCCCUCUCCCACUGCAGUUAGUCCUGUCCUGCAACCCUGUUUUUGCAGCUUAGUGAAGCCAACCAUCACUAACCGGGGGGUGGUUUUGGACCCAGAGAUGCGGAUGGACUCCCACAUUAGCCAGGACCUGAUUGGUGUCCAGAACCUGCUGAAGAAGCACCAGGCUCUGCAGGCUGAGAUCACAGGUCAUGAACCUCGCAUCAAGGCUGUCACCCAGAAAGGAGAGACCAUGGUGGAAGAAGGUCACUUCGCUGGUGAGGAAGUGAAGACUAAACUGUGGGAGCUUCAUGGACGUUGGGACACGCUGAAGGCCAAGGCGUCCCAGAGGAGGCAGGACCUGGAGGACUCUCUGCAGGCCCAGCAGUACUUUGCGGAUGCUAAUGAGGCCGAGUCCUGGAUGAGGGAGAAGGAGCCCAUCGUUGGAAGUCCAGACUAAGGGAAAGACGAGGACUUGGCCGAGGUAUGGAAGUCCCUUCCUGAGAAACUCCAAUCGCUUUUCUUUGCUCUCUUUCCAGUCCUUCAUAAUUAGUGUUUCUGUAUUUGUCAUUUCCUUCGGUUGUCUACCAGACGUCGUUGCUCGUUUGAGCGUCUCAUGGGUUAGGGGUAGAAGUGCUGGCCUCGCACAGGAAGUGAUGACAAACGUGUUCCCGUCGCUCUCAUUUCAAACGGUUUACAAGCUGUGAUGUGUGUUCCCGCUGCAGAGCAGCCAUGACACGUGGCAGCCGGCAGAAGGCUCACGCUUUUCCACUAAACACCCGCAGAGCUGCGUCUGCGGUGAACUGAGCAGGGUUUGUUUUACGGUGGCGGAUCCGAUUGGACCAUCGCUGCGAGAAAGCUCCACUUGUGUCAGACGAGCUGAAGGUUCUGAUGUUCUGCUCCACAGGCUCUCCUGAAGAAGCACGAGGCCCUGAUGUCGGACCUGUCGGCUUACGGCAGCAGCAUCCAGGCCCUGAAGGAGCAGGCCCAGUCCUGCAGGGUGAGUUCAGAACCCUCGGCCCGUCAGAACAUUCUUAUCCACCACGUUCUAACACCAGACCUGUUAACCCGAACGCAACAAGGUAAUCAGCAGGUGCUUUUGUCCUGCAGGACCUGAAGGCCAACGAGUCCCGCCUGAGGGACAUCAACAAGGUGGCAUCUGAACUGGAGUCAGAAGGUCUGAUGGCUGAGGAGGCUCCUAUGGUUCAGGCUCAGCAACAAGAACAUCUGGGUUCUGCUCCUGGAAAGGUGCAUGUUGUCCUCCGCCUCCACCAGAACCAGACGUGGUGUUUAUGUUACCACUCAUUUGUUUGUUUGUUUGUUUGUUUACAGGAUGAAGCCGACUCUAACACGGCGUCACCCUGGAAGGUGAGUUCAUUCAGCUGAUCAGAGGUCACCUCUGAUGGCAGCAGUCACGGCCGACCGUGCUGACAUCACACAGGAAUUCAGGUGACCCGGCAGGCACCAGGUGCUGGUGAAAGUGGGGACAUGUCAGCUGGUUGCCAUGGCUACAGUUAUCUUUAUGCAUCUGUAUGACUGCUGACUGGUGUGUGUUUCCUGUGACCUUUGACCUCAGACCGUACGGUUGGGCGUUCAGACGACGGCUAACUUUAAUUCCAUCAAGGUAAGAGGAAGCUCUUCCCUUCCUGUCUGAGCGAUCCGUCUCCAGGUUUCUUCGUCCGGCGUCCAGCCCGCUGGCGUCCACCUUCAUCUCACCUUCAUCUCAUCUCACUUCAUUUAUAGUGCAAUACUUUCACAUUAUCAUUUUCCCACACUUCUGUAUACCUGUAUUUUUUUGUUUUUCAAUAAAGAAUGACAAAUUA